rnacentral:rRNA from 1 species
CGCUGGCGGCACGCCUAACACAUGCAAGUCGAACGAAGUAGCAAUACUUAGUGGCAGACGGGUGAGUAACAUGUAGGUAUCUGCCCUUUGGCCUGGAAUAACACGAGGAAACUUGUGCUAAUACCGGAUAAGUCUUUACGGAGAAAGCUUUAUGCACCAUUGGAUGAGCCUGCACUUGAUUAGUUUGUUGGUGGGGUAAUGGCCUACCAAGACUGUGAUCAAUAGCUGAUUUGAGAGGAUGAUCAGCCACAUUGGGACUGAGACACGGCCCAAACUCCUACGGGAGGCAGCAGUGGGGAAUCUUGCACAAUGGAGGAAACUCUGGUGCAGCGAUGCCGCGUGAGUGAAGAAGGCCUUUGGGUUGUAAAGCUCUUUCGUCGGGGAAGAAAAUGACUGUACCCGAAUAAGAAGGUCCGGCUAACUUCGUGCCAGCAGCCGCGGUAAUACGAAGGGACCUAGCGUAGUUCGGAAUUACUGGGCUUAAAGAGUUCGUAGGUGGUUGAAAAAGUUAGUGGUGAAAUCCCAGAGCUUAACUCUGGAACUGCCAUUAAAACUUUUCAGCUAGAGUAUGAUAGAGGAAAGCAGAAUUUCUAGUGUAGAGGUGAAAUUCGUAGAUAUUAGAAAGAAUACCAAUUGCGAAGGCAGCUUUCUGGAUCAUUACUGACACUGAGGAACGAAAGCAUGGGUAGCGAAGAGGAUUAGAUACCCUCGUAGUCCAUGCCGUAAACGAUGUGUGUUAAACGUUGGAAAUUUAUUUUCAGUGUUGCAGGGAAACCGAUAAACACACCGCCUGGGGAGUACGACCGCAAGGUUAAAACUCAAAUGAAUUGACGGGGACCCGCACAAGUAGUGGAGCAUGUGGUUUAAUUCGAAGAUACGCGCAGAACCUUACCAACACUUGACAUGUUCGUCGCGACUCUAAGAGAUUAGAGUUUUCGGUUCGGCCGGACGAAACACAGGUGCUGCAUGGCUGUCGUCAGCUCGUGUCGUGAGAUGUUGGGUUAAGUCCCGCAACGAGCGCAACCCUCACUUUUAGUUGCCAUCAUUAAGUUGGGCACUCUGAAAGAACUGCCAGUGAUAAGCUGGAGGAAGGUGGGGAUGACGUCAAGUCCUCAUGGCCCUUACGUGUUGGGCUACACACGUGCUACAAUGGUAUCUACAACAGGAAGCAAGACUGCGAAGUUGAGCAAAUCCCUAAAAGAUACCUCAGUUCGGAUUGCACUCUGCAACUCGAGUGCAUGAAGCUGGAAUUACUAGUAAUCGUGGAUCAGCGUGCCACGGUGAAUGCGUUCCCGGGUCUUGUACACACCGCCCGUCACACCAUGGGAGUUGGUUCUACCUUAAGGCAAGGUUUCAAACCCUUGACCACGGUAUAGUCAGCGACUGGGGUGAAGUCGUAACAAGGUA